AAUUCUGCCCCUGGAAGAACAGAGGCAGGGAAGACCUGCCCGCUGUGCUGGAGCUGUCCGUGGUCCUGACAAGGCUGGCAGCAAUAAAGCCAUAAUCAGCUUAUCAAAGGAAGAAGCACAAGAAGCCAGAAGCACGUCCCUUAAUAAAGAUCUUGCUCUUAUUCUCUGGGUCUCUUAAGUAAUUAAGCCUGCUGUCUUCUACUGCUGGGUGUAUGGAUUAGGCUGGGAACCAAGCCUCUGCAAAUUAAAGCAGCAGAUAGACGUCCACACACACGCCUUCCCCCCAUACCUGAACCGCCCGUGCGUCCCAGCCAAAUGAGCUCUAGUACAUCUUGUCUCCGUGUGGUAUUCUUUUGCCUUGAACUAGAGAUUCUUUUUCUGGGGAACAGGUGUUCUUGAACCUGAUUUUCCAGGCUUAACCACCCUAAGAACCAAGUGAAAUUAAUUUAAUGAAUUCGCAAAGAAAGCAAAGAAGUUCCCUUUUUUUAAAGCAUUUUUUUCAUUGCUUCUUCCAUUUAUGCCCAUUGAUAUGUUUGUAUCAAAGGACAUAUAUUUACUGUAUAAGCAGUGUUACUGAUGUCAUUUCCAGAAAAAAAAUGUGGCAGAUACAGGAAUGUUGGGAACCUGACAUGAACCCCCACUCAUGCUUGAGAGCUCUGGCUGUGGGGUCAGGCGGGCCUGUUUCAGACUCUGACGGCCACUUACUAACUGUGUGUUCGUGGGCAACUCCUGAAUAUUUUUUGAGCCUCAGUUUCUUCAUCUGUAAAACGGGAUCAAUAAUACCUACCUUGCAGGGUCCUCUGCAAACGAAAGGAGAUAACGAAUGUGAAGCCUUUAAAACACUCAGCCGAGGCGAAGGCCACAUGAAAGAUAUGCACGUGCCAAGUGUUCAGGGAACUGCAAGCAACUUCACCAGCCUGGAUCUGGCCACACACGUGUCAGCCAAGGCCUCUUACCUUCGACCAGCUGCCGAGACCGAUGUGUUUUCUUUUCCGAGCCUCUCAGAUCCGCUCCACGCAGCCCGGGGGGUGUGGGCCGCGGGGAGGACAGUGGUAAAUAUCACGUCAACUCCGGAGGCACAGCCAAGGUUGAUGACUGAGUGUCGGGAUGACCGAUCAAGAGUCAGGUGAGUGGGGUGGGGGCUGGUAAGAAGGUCGGGGAGGCGGCAGGGCGAGGGCGGGGGUCAGAUUCAAGAACUAACGCAAAAGACACGAGCAGGAACCAGAGACCCAAGGAGGACAUAGAGCAGCGAAUUGAAUCCUGGAAACAGGUUUCCGCCGCUGGCUGCUUUUAGAAGAAUGAGGAGACCCCCCUCAGCAGCCUUUGGGGGCGAUGUCCUGUCUUUAAGACUCCCCACUCCCCGUGGAAACUCUCAUGUCCCCGGCCGGUCACACCAGUCUCUGAAGCUGAGCCUUAAGUGAAAAUGAUCGGCUUCCCAGGUGACUUUGGAGAAGCCAGAGUCAGCGGCUCCUUGAGUGUCUCCCCUGCACCUCCCUCCUCCACACCGCUGUUUCCAGACACCCCUUCCCAGGCGAUGCUGUAGAACCCUCACUGGCUCUCCCUUUAUUUCUGAGUUUGAUGGGUACCACUCGAGACAGAGGGUGUCCUGGCCCAGCCCCCCUGCAGCCUCGCACCUGUGACCGGCCUGCCUUCCUCUCGCUGCCCGCCUUGCUGUUUCUCCUGUGAUAUCCUUGGGCAUGACUGGGGGGAGCCCAGUGGACCCCUGAAAUGCAGAGGCCCCAGGGAGGAUGGGCCCAGGUGAGGCCCAGGUGUGGGAAAGACGGAUCUGGCAGGAAGAACUCAGUGUGUGCGGCCAUGUGAGCCAACACAGUGGAGC
rnacentral:lncRNA from 1 species